UCAGCGUUCAGAAGAAAAGUGGAAGUUGUUCUGCAACUGUUGAUAUCGAACCCACCUUCCUCUCGCACAACGCGGAACUUAGUGUCGGCGGGUCUCGUCUUGUCCCCUCUCCGUUCACUCGACGCGCGAUGAAGAGAAGCAGUUGGUGAGACUCCCAGUCUCCCUGCAGAGCAGUAAGACAACUGCGGGCAUCUCCACACGGAUAAACACCAUCAGGUGGGCAAAGAACUUCGACCCGGCAGAGUUGGUGUAAUGUUAUCACAAAACUCGGCUAUUUCCGGACGUGAUGGACUCUACUCCAGAUGUGAAGAAGAAAAGGAGCGUAGACUCUGAAGGGGGCGUGUCUAAAUAUGACUCUGAAGGGGGCGUGUCUACAUGUGACUCUGACAGCGUCCAGCAGGGGGCAUCAGACACACAGUCCAAGAGGACAGACGAGACAGAGAGGGACUCUGCUGCAGAACACAGAUGGACACCAGCAGAGGCAGAG